rnacentral:tRNA from 1 species
AGUAAGGUAAGCUAACGUUAAGCUCUUGGGCCCAUACCCCAAAUACGUGGGUUGAACUCCCACCUUUACUA